AAAUCUUACCUUUCCAGAAACAAAGAAAACAUUAGCUUCAACAAAAACAAAAGAGGAGACGUUAUUCAUCAAUGGCUUCUUCGCUCAAUUAACCACACUUUCUUUUGCUUUACCCUUUUCUCGUUCUUAUCCUCCCUUCUCCUCUUCCUCCUCCGCUCGUCUCCCAAUGGAACAAUUUACUCAAAUCCUUGAAGCUCAGUUCCUCUAAAUCCAUCUCUUCUAUCCCUUCUUUAGCUUCCAAUGCGCUUUCCCCCAUCUCCACUCCUCCCCAAAUACCCCAAUCUCUCACUGUCUUGCUGCCAAAGGCUACAAAAUGAAAACCCACCAAGGCUUCAGCUAAGAGAUUCCGGUGACUGGAAGAGGUUAAGUAGUAAGGAGGAGAGCUGGGAAGCAGCAUUUGUUGGCUAAGAAGAACACCAAGCGUAAAUUGUGCCUCUCCAAAAUGCAUGAGGUUAGCCGGAGCGACUACAACAACGUGAUCGG